GGACUACUAGGGUAUCUAAUCCUGUUUGAUCCCCACGCUUUCGUGCCUCAGUGUCAGUUGUAGUUUUGUAAGCUGCCUUCGCAAUGGGUGUUCUGUGUCAUAUCUAAGCAUUUCACCGCUACAUGACACAUUCCACUUACAUCAAAUACACUCAAGAAUGACAGUAUCAAUGGCAGGUCUGUAGUUAAGCUACAGGUUUUCACCACUGACUUGUCAUCCCACCUACGCACCCUUUAAACCCAGUAAAUCCGGAUAACGCUUGGAUCCUCCGUAUUACCGCGGCUGCUGGCAC
rnacentral:rRNA from 1 species